UCUGCCCGGUGAGAAAUUAAACGGCCGCUUUUGUGCUAAGGUAGCAUAAUCAUUUGUCCUUUAAUUGGGGACUAGAAUGAAUGGGAAAAUGUAGGUGAGCUUUUUUCUUUUAAGUUAUAAAAAUUAAACUUUCUAUGAAAAUGUAGAAAUAAACUUUAAAGACCAAAAGACCCUGACGAGCUUAAAUCUGGGGGAGUUAUCUUUUAACAGAUUUUAAUUGGGGUGAUUUUAGAUAUACAUCUAUUAUUAAAUAAAAAAACUAAAUUAAUGUUAGUAAAGUUACCGCAGGGAUAACAGGCUAAUCUUUUUUAAGAGUUCAAAUCUACAAAAAGACUUGGCACCUCGAUGUUGGCUUAAGAGAAAUUUUAGAUGUAGCAGUUUAWAUAAAAGGCGU
rnacentral:rRNA from 1 species